UACAGAGGUCUCAAGCGUUGUUCGGAUUCAUUGGGCGUAAAGGGUGCGUAGGCGGCGCGGUAAGUCGGGUGUGAAAUCUUGGAGCUUAACUCCGAAACUGCAUUCGAUACUGCCGUGCUUGAGGACUGGAGAGGAGACUGGAAUUUACGGUGUAGCGGUGAAAUGCGUAGAUAUCGUAAGGAAGACCAGUGGCGAAGGCGGGUCUCUGGACAGUUCCUGACGCUGAGGACGAGGA
rnacentral:rRNA from 1 species